GUCGAGCAAACAGAGGGGAGCAAGGGGGAUGAAUCCUAGUUUACCAAAAUUCACAAGAACCAAGUGAAAUCUUGAGAAAAUUGAAAGUAUAAACAACGAAUUCUAAGCUCCUACAUCUGUUCUUCGAAUUGGCAUAAAGGAAGAAGGUCCAAGCUCUAAGAAGUCGGAAGGCCCUCAGGAUCGAGGUAAAUCCUCACUUUAGGCGAUCUGGAGAUUGGAGCGAGCACAAGUCCAUAUCUUGUUAUACCGAAC